CGAGGCGAGUCAGUCGACCGGUAGACCAUGACAGGUGGGCAGUGUGGCUAGCGACGAACGGGGUCCAAUGUCUCCAACUCUCUAUAGCGACGAGUGUACCAACACACGUGCAGUUCGAUUCCUGUCUCUCCAAACGACGCUUGCAGUCUAAAAGGAGUCCAGCAUGACCAAUAUCAGCAUCGACGGUUGUAUUAUUGGACUAAGUUUUCCCGACCUAUUAUAAUGGAGUUUAAGCAUAUGGUCAUGUUGGCAUUGGAGCAAACAAAAUGGAGGCUGCUCGAGCACGUGAAUGUCCAAGCUUUUUUCGUACCAGAAUCAGCAUCGUUCAGCUAGUCACAUGCUGGCCAUAUUCAAGUGAUGGCACUCCAUGCGGAUCGGUAGACUACGCGUCGGAAUCAAGGUUAGAAAUGGUCGUGCCUGCAGAAAGGUCCUGGAAGAGUACAGUAAACAAAUCCCACCAUCUUCUCAAUUGCCUGCUACGCUUCGUAACGUUAUUGUAUUUUUCGUUAUGCCAAAUGUAUGGAAGCAGAACAAACUGGAAACGGAAUGAAGUCAUCAACUAAAAAGACCAUAACAAUCAUCAAACUAAUUAGGCAAACAAUGGGAGGUCCAAAACGCUAACGGAUACUUGGAAUAACAGUUGAAAGUUAUUAUGGGACGGUGACUGUCCCUGGUCAACAUUUCUCAUUUUGUCGUUACAGAUGAGCAACAACACAAAGAAAGAAAAAAAUUACCAAAUCAUUUCCAGGUUCUGCUCUCAGUUGCAUUUUUAAAAUCGUAUUAGGGUCUAUGAUUGGCAGAAUUAACAAAUACGAUGCUCGAUUGGCUCCCACUGACGCGACUACGCCAUUCCCUAAAAACAAAAACAAAAAACAAAAACAUAAAGAGUGUUAACCUAAAAAGAUCAAUAUGUUAACGGUUGUCUCAACCAGUCAUUUGCCUCUCUGAGUAAACCAACCUACACUAUAAAUAGGACUUAACGUACACCCCUGUCUCGGUUCCUUUUUUCAUUUUUUCCCGGAUCUAUUUUCUAACGCGUCUACUAAACUGUGUAGAAAAAUAAAGCAGAACUACAAAACUGUUAGCCAUGUUCCAUGACAAACAU